rnacentral:rRNA from 1 species
UACAGAGGUCCCAAGCGUUGUUCGGAUUCAUUGGGCGUAAAGGGUGCGUAGGUGGCGCCGUAAGUGGGGUGUGAAAUUUCGGAGCUUAACUCCGAAACUGCAUUCCAUACUGCGGUGCUUGAGGACUGGAGAGGAGACUGGAAUUUACGGUGUAGCAGUGAAAUGCGUAGAGAUCGUAAGGAAGACCAGUGGCGAAGGCGGGUCUCUGGACAGUUCCUGACACUGAGACACGAAGGCCAGGGGAGCAAACGGG